AAAGAUACUGAAAAUGUUUAUGAUUGAACUGUGAGAUUGUGUGCAUCAAUUGGGAUGCAGGAUAUUCAUUUUGUUGGUGUUGAUAGGUACUGAUGCACCUUUGGGAUAAUGUAUCAGGUGUUGAACUGAAGAGAAGAAUGGAGCUUGUGCAUAAAUAGGGGCAAGCUCUUGAAGAUCUUAAGAAGAGUUCUAUGAAGCUUCAGAAGUGAUGAGAAGCUGAUAUAAGGUUGGGAUAAAGGCUAAGAAGAGUUCAGAUAGAAGUGGAGUAGUCUUUGGAUGAGUUAAGGAGAGAAAGGUAGAUGGUGCAAAGAUAGGGACAGCCAUGUACGGCCAUGUACGGAUGGUACGGCCCGGGAAGGACAUGGCUGAUCCAAAAGAGUUUCUAUCAAGUCUUGGGAUGUUUUGGAGUUGUGCAAAGAUAGGGCGCGAUGUGAGAGAAGCAACCCUAAUCCGUACACUCAGCUGAUGAAGACUUGUGAUGCAAGGCAUGAAGAAGGCUUAGGGCAAGAGAGCAAAGAUCCUAAAGGCAUAUGCUGUCCGAGAUGCUUUAGGAAGUAACCAGGAAGGUGCUGAGCUCUCUUGACCGUUUAUGGAUAAGAAACCUUAUCCAUACAGCUUGUUCAAAUUCAAAUAAGCAAGCUGGCAUGAGCUGUAAAGUAAAGGCAAAGAAGAAGUCAUGUAUCUGGCCAAAGGAGAGGGAAGAUACAUGGAGCUUUAAGAAAAGCAAUCAGGCGCCAGCAAGCAAGAACCAACCACCAUUCAGCCUUCCUUGACCAGAUCCAAAGCUACAUCCAAGCCAUUCAUUUCCCAAAGUCAUUUAGAGCCAUCAGAUUUAGGUUUAUGAGUUUCAGAGUGUGAAAACAUAUAUAAACUGAUGUAUGGACGUUUUGUAAGCUCUAAGAGAGUAUGGGGGUUUUCCCCAUCUCCUUCAUAAAUAUAAAAGUGUGUUCUUGAUCAGAUUCCCUUAAUCUACCCCUUUCUUAGUCUCUAAUCUCUUAAUCUCUCUAAGUCUCUUUGUUUCUGAUUCAAGUUCAUACGAGUUUCAUCAGACCUCUUAUUCAACUAGUUCAAGACCUUAUCCUUUGCCUCUAAUGGCUUCUCAUACACAUACACAGCCAGAGCUCUCAAAUCUCAUAUGGUAUCAGAGCCAUGUUCAUCAGAACCUGAGCUGAAGCUUCCGCAAACACACUGCUCUCUCCUCAGCUCAAAUCCAAACCAUUGAAGCUCUCUCCAUCCGGUUCAGCUCCUUAUGAAGGAGAAGACUGAAGCUUGGCGAGUUCUCAUGGUUCCUCAUCCUGUUCUCUUCCUGUCCUGAUGGUGAUUCUCCUUGGAAGCAGAGGUGUAUGGACAAGGCCUAGCUAUCCUUGUACCAAGGCGCCUUGUCCAAGAGAAGAACACAUCCGGUUCCAAAGAAGAUGGUGUCAAGAGCUUGGCGCCUAAAGGAGAUGAAGAAAGGAGGGGUCUUUGAAGCUGAUGGUACAAGAUGGAGGCCAUGAAUAGAAGGUGAAAGAGGUGGGUGACGAUCCACACUCUCAAGACCAACAAAGCAUGGUCGGUUUCAUGAAAGGUUAAGGAACCAACCUGGUUCCUUGUGUAAGCGAUUCUUUAAAACCUUCUUGAUAUUGAGCUUGUGGUGUUACUGUGCCUGGCUAGUGUGAUGUGUAUUGAUUGAAAAACCCUGAGGAUAAUGUGUGAUUGCUAAAUAUAAUUAGUUGAAUCUGUCCCAGGAUGCUUUAAAGGCUUGUUUAGUGUUUAAAGAGUAAAAUGCUUGCUCCUGUUAAGUAAUGAGUUUGCUAAAUGUGAAAUGAUAUUGUUUGAAGCUCAUGAACUGAAAACAGAUUGAAAGUAAUGCAUUGUCUGAUGUUAAGUGAUGAUAGUAAUGCUUAGCCUAAGUUAUAAAUGAAUGUGUGAUGAAUUGUAUUGUUGCAUUCAUGAAUUAAAACUGAUUAAGGUUAGUGCAUACUGUCAAAUGGCUGUCUUACAUUGAAGCAUUAGAUUCAUGUCUAAAUGCUGAGUAAAGAAGCUUUAAAAAUUGCCUAAGUAGCUUGUAUUGAAUCUGUUAGGAUCAUGCUAGUGCUUAGAGAGUUUGCUUGCAAAGAUUAGAACUUGAAAAUGUCUAGUUUAAUCUGUUGCAUUGCUUAAAGACAUUGGUGUUCAAACUUGAUGAUGCAUCAAGGGUUGACCCAAUGCACUUGUGUCUUAUCUUUGCUGGAGUUUGAGUGAUGUUUCAGGUUCACAAGAGGUGUUCUUGGUUCACCAUCCAUCCGAGUUGAAAGAGGAAGACUUUGCCCAUUGUGUGGAGCAAUGGAGAGUUGAGAAAGAAGUGGUGAUGCGCCACUGGUGUGAAGUGUCACUGAAGCUCACUUGCAAGCUUGGACCUAUACUCAAUCCAAGCUUGAGGAGGGGAGUUUAGUGAGCUUCCAAGCGAUCCAAGAAGUCCAUUCCAAGCAUCUGAAGAAGGAGCCAUCCGGGCUUAGGCUGUGGCGAGUCUAUUCAAGAGAGUACUCAAACUAAGACAGAGUAUUCUUGGCUGUGAGAAGAUGAAGGCAACUCUAUCAAGGCCGCUUCUAGUGUGAAGUGAUUGGAGAGAUAGCUGAAGCUUCCACAAGCAUUCCAUGAAGAUGGCAAGAUCAGAAGAGGAGCGGCAAUGGUGUGUGUGUGAGGAUCAUGAAGCAAUCCAUUCAAGCUUGUUCCUGUGAGAGUCUCAAGCUUGAGGGGGAGUGUUGAAGCUUACAUGAUCCAAGAGAGCUUGGUGGUUACUCUAGAAGAAGAAGAAGCAGCCAAGACUCAGUAAGAAGAAGUUGUAUCUCCAAGAAGAAGCUGAUCUGGUGUGUCCGAGCACUUCAACCUAACAAGAGGUUAGGUGAAAGGGGGAGAGACCAAGAUUAGGCAGUAAGGAGAGUACAAGGCGUGGGGUGAUUGUAGAGGCCAUGAUCCAGAGUCUUUGUGUCCCUUACAUUGUUGGUAAGGCACAAAGACUCACUGGCCAAUCCCUAGGCCUUGGAGACUUUACUCUUUUUCCCUCAUCAAGGUUUUGUCCCAAAGGGUUUUCCUUGGUGAGGUUUUUAAUGAGGAAGUUCUUCAGGGUUCCAAGCUUGACUUAGGAUCAACUAAAGUCAAGCUUGAGGGGGAGUGUUGAACUGAAGAGAAGAAUGGAGCUUGUGCAUAAAUAGGGGCAAGCUCUUGAAGAUCUUAAGAAGAGUUCUAUGAAGCUUCAGAAGUGAUGAGAAGCUGAUAUAAGGUUGGGAUAAAGGCUAAGAAGAGUUCAGAUAGAAGUGGAGUAGUCUUUGGAUGAGUUAAGGAGAGAAAGGUAGAUGGUGCAAAGAUAGGGACAGCCAUGUACGGCCAUGUACGGAUGGUACGGCCCGGGAAGGACAUGGCUGAUCCAAAAGAGUUUCUAUCAAGUCUUGGGAUGUUUUGGAGUUGUGCAAAGAUAGGGCGCGAUGUGAGAGAAGCAACCCUAAUCCGUACACUCAGCUGAUGAAGACUUGUGAUGCAAGGCAUGAAGAAGGCUUAGGGCAAGAGAGCAAAGAUCCUAAAGGCAUAUGCUGUCCGAGAUGCUUUAGGAAGUAACCAGGAAGGUGCUGAGCUCUCUUGACCGUUUAUGGAUAAGAAACCUUAUCCAUACAGCUUGUUCAAAUUCAAAUAAGCAAGCUGGCAUGAGCUGUAAAGUAAAGGCAAAGAAGAAGUCAUGUAUCUGGCCAAAGGAGAGGGAAGAUACAUGGAGCUUUAAGAAAAGCAAUCAGGCGCCAGCAAGCAAGAACCAAUCACCAUUCAGCCUUCCUUGACCAGAUCCAAAGCUACAUCCAAGCCAUUCAUUUCCCAAAGUCAUUUAGAGCCAUCAGAUUUAGGUUUAUGAGUUUCAGAGUGUGAAAACAUAUAUAAACUGAUGUAUGGACGUUUUGUAAGCUCUAAGAGAGUAUGGGGGUUUUCCCCAUCUCCUUCAUAAAUAUAAAAGUGUGUUCUUG
rnacentral:lncRNA from 1 species